GACGAACGCUGGCGGCGUGCUUAACACAUGCAAGUCGAACGGAAAGGCCCUGCUUUUGUGGGGUGCUCGAGUGGCGAACGGGUGAGUAACACGUGAGUAACCUGCCCUUGACUUUGGGAUAACUUCAGGAAACUGGGGCUAAUACCGGAUAGGAGCUCCUGCUGCAUGGUGGGGGUUGGAAAGUUUCGGCGGUUGGGGAUGGACUCGCGGCUUAUCAGCUUGUUGGUGGGGUAGUGGCUUACCAAGGCUUUGACGGGUAGCCGGCCUGAGAGGGUGACCGGCCACAUUGGGACUGAGAUACGGCCCAGACUCCUACGGGAGGCGGCAGUGGGGAAUAUUGCACAAUGGGCGGAAGCCUGAUGCAGCAACGCCGCGUGCGGGAUGACGGCCUUCGGGUGGUAAACCGCUUUCGCCUGUGACGAAGCGUGAGUGACGGUAAUGGGUAAAGAAGCACCGGCUAACUACGU
rnacentral:rRNA from 1 species